rfam:Rattus norvegicus chromosome 13, whole genome shotgun sequence.
GGGGAUUUAGCUCAGUGGUAGAGCGCUUGCCUCGGAAGCGCAAGGCCCUGGGUUCGGUCCCCAGCUCCA